GACAUCAACGCUGGCGGCAGGCUUAACACAUGCAAGUCGAGCGCCCCGCAAGGGGAGCGGCAGACGGGAGAGUAACACGUGGGAACGUGCCCUUUGGUUCGGAACAACCCAGGGAAACUUGGGCUAAUACCGGAUACGUCCGUAAGGAGAAAGAUUUAUCGCCAAAGGAUCGGCCCGCGUCUGAUUAGCUAGUUGGUGGGGUAACGGCCCACCAAGGCGACGAUCAGUAGCUGGUCUGAGAGGAUGAUCAGCCUCACUGGGACUGAGACACGGCCCAGACUCCUACGGGAGGCAGCAGUGGGGAAUAUUGGACAAUGGGCGCAAGCCUGAUCCAGCCAUGCCGCGUGGGUGAUGAAGGCCCUAGGGUUGUAAAGCCCUUUCGGCGGGGAAGAUAAUGACGGUACCCGCAGAAGAAGCCCCGGCUAACUUCGUGCCAGCAGCCGCGGUAAUACGAAGGGGGCUAGCGUUGCUCGGAAUCACUGGGCGUAAAGCGCACGUAGGCGGCUUUUUAAGUCAGGGGUGAAAUCCUGGAGCUCAACUCCAGAACUGCCUUUGAUACUGAAAAACUGGAGUCCCGGAAAAGUGAGUGGAACUUGCCAAGUGUAAAGGUGAAAUUUCGUAAAAUUUUCGCAAAGAACCACCUAGUGGCCGAAGGCCGGCUUAAUUG
rnacentral:rRNA from 1 species